GAUGAACGCUAGCGGCAGGCCUAACACAUGCAAGUCGAGGGGUAGAGGGUGCUUGCACCCUUGAGACCGGCGCACGGGUGCGUAACGCGUAUGCAAUCUGCCCCCUACAGGGGAAUAGCCCAGGGAAACUUGGAUUAAUGCCCCAUAGCCCAUAUUGAGAGCAUUCGAUAUAUGGUAAAGAUUUAUCGGUAGGGGAUGAGCAUGCGUACCAUUAGCUAGUUGGUGUGGUAACGGCACACCAAGGCAACGAUGGUUAGGGGCCCUGAGAGGGGGGAUCCCCCACACUGGUACUGAGACACGGACCAGACUCCUACGGGAGGCAGCAGUGAGGAAUAUUGGACAAUGGGCGGGAGCCUGAUCCAGCCAUGCCGCGUGCAGGAAGACUGCCCUAUGGGUUGUAAACCGCUUUUUUACGGGAAGAAACACCCCCACGUGUGGGGGCUUGACGGUACCGUACGAAUAAGGAUCGGCUAACUCCGUGCCAGCAGCCGCGGUAAAGUCACA
rnacentral:rRNA from 1 species